GUACAUGCCUACAUCAUAGCGUUAAUACAUUGGAUCCUGUUAGAACUCCACAAUUAAGCGUGCUCAGGCUAGAGUAUUACUGGGAUGGGUGACCUCCUGGGAAGUCCUAGUGUUUUAAAUU
rnacentral:rRNA from 1 species